CAAUGGCGUAUAUUAAAGUUGUUGCAGUUAAAAGCUCGUAGUUGGAUUUCUGGCAGGAGCGACCGGUCGGCCCAUUGUGGUGUGUACUAGUGUUGCAUCUGGCCAUAUUUGUGGAGAGCGUGUGUGGCAUUAAUUUGUCGUGCUCGGGACCCGCAUCGUUUACUGUGAGAAAAUUAGAGUGUUCAAAGCAGGCUUAUGCCUUGGAUAUGUUAGCAUGGAAUAAUAAGAUAAGACUUUGGCGGUCUAUUUUGUUGGUUUGCACGCCAUUGUAAUGAUUGAUAGGGACAGUUGGGGGUAUUCGUAUUACGGUGUUAGAGGUGAAAUUCUUGGAUCGCCGUAAGACGAACUACUGCGAAAGCAUUUGCCAAGAAUGUUUUCAUUAAUCAAGAUCGAAAGUCAGAGGUUCGAAGACGAUCAGAU
rnacentral:rRNA from 1 species